GGCAGGGGGAGCAAGAUGAAGUCACAGACCCAGGUUCUCCUGUUAUUGCUGCUCUUGGUAUCUGGUGCCUGUGCAGAUAUCGUGAUGACCCAGUCUCCAUCUACCCUGGCUGUGUCAGCAAGAGAGAAGGUCACUCUCAGUUGCAGGUCUAGUCAGAGUCUUUUACACAGUGGAUUACAGAAGAAUCUCUUGAACUGGUACCAGCAGAAACCAGGGCAAUCUCCUAAACUGCUGAUCUACUGGGCAUCCACUCGGGACACUGGGGUUCCUGAUCGCUUCAUAGGCAGUGGGUCUGGAACAGAUUUCACUCUCACCAUCAGCAGUGUCCAGGCUGAAGAUGUGGCAGAUUAUUACUGUCAGCAUGGUUACAGUUAUCCUAUCACAGUGCUUCAGCCUUCAACACAAACCUCCUCUGAGAGUCUCACCAGCUGCCUUCACCACAUACUGCCUUGA